rnacentral:lncRNA from 1 species
CGUCGGCUGACUUGACGCUGGACUCUAUCCGGAUUGGCUUUGAUGGACGUCAUCAACGGCUGCAAUUAAUCUUGAAGUAGGCUAUCUUGGACUGAACUCUCCUCAUCGGCUGACAUGAACUUCAAGUCGAUUGAAAUACUACUUGAUCAAAUUUCAUCUUUAUCGCUUAUCGGCCUCUCUGACAAUCAGCCAUUAUCUUUCUAAGUUGAGUUCGGAUUGGAAACCAAUUAGAGUAUUGGCCAAUGGGCUUUUAGACAAUAAACCAAUGACUAUGGGCCGGCCGAU